rnacentral:rRNA from 1 species
UGGGGAAUAUUGCACAAUGGGCGCAAGCCUGAUGCAGCGACGCCGCGUGCGGGAUGGAGGCCUUCGGGUUGUAAACCGCUUUUGUUCAAGGGCAAGGCAGGCUUUCGGCCUGUUGAGUGGAUUGUUCGAAUAAGCACCGGCUAACUACGUGCC